AUCACCAAACCGAGGAAAAAAUCCCCUUUUCCGCCGGCGGCGCCGACGUCGGAGGCUCGAGCUCCUCCUCCGUCAAAGCCAAGCAAGCUCCGCUCUCAUGCAUCCCCUCCCCCUUGCGCCUUCUUCCCUGCGUCUCCGCGUACCUCACCCACCCAAUCCGCCACCCACUCUUCCCCCGUCGUAUGCAUCGAAUCUGCGUCGCCGUGAGGAGGCCCAAAUACAAAGCGCACCGGCCACCGGCACGGCGCUGCUCAUCUGCUCGUUGAUGUAGGCCUAGCUGAACCCGCAACUGCAGAGGAAGCAUGGAAGCGCAUGGUAAGGUUGUGGUCAGCAGCAAUGGCAACGACAAGGACGUCCCCGGUGGCUCUGCACCUAUACCUGGACCAGGUAAUUAACAUCUUUCUUGUCUUCAUAUCCAUUGCAUACUCGUGGUUGUGUAUCUGAUUCAAGCAUGGUGUGAUCUGCCAUGGGAAUGGCUAUAUGAGAAUUUGUGUCAUGUACUUACAUUACCUAUGAUGAAACAUCUGAGAUGUCUUGCAAUUCGUUGGCACUUUUGUGUAUUUAUAGUACCUGUCCUAACAAAAACCAGUCGCAUAUAUAGUAGGGUAACUGAACUUGCUGUCUUCUAUACAAUUAUCUUUGUGAUAACUGAACUUGCUGUCUUUUGUGAUACUGAUAACUGAACUUGAACCGCUCUUCUCCGUGCUAUGCAUACUCAACUUUGAAGUUCCAUACUAGACUGCUUUGAGGUGGACGUGGAGCCUGGAUUAUACGUAAAGGCAUCCAACACAGAUCUGCACACCGGACUCUCCCUUCGUGAGCGAGCAAGACUGCAUGAUGCGGACAUGGGUUGGAGGACCUCCGUCCUCCGUUUAGGACUGCACGCACGUCUUAAUUCUGCUGACACAAAAGUAUGCGAUCAGGCUUUGGAAGUAGGCUACUGUACCAAUUCAGUACAUGGCUGGCUAGAUUUGGAGCGGUUGGAAACUGGAAACACAUGCACAUACUACCGCACUCGGCACUACAUCCAAGGCUAAUCAAUUUCCUCAGUCAGAUCGGCUGGUGCCAACAUGCAGGACGACUAAACACCUGGCUGCAAUCUGCUUGGCCUCAGACUUGCUCGCUGUGUACUGCAAAGUGGUCGUGCAAAUUCAAAGUAUGGGCUCUGCUUUCUCACCUUACUUCCCUUUGUGUUACCUCCGUUGUCAUAUAUAAAUUGCUAACUGUGUGUAUGAUAGAUAUCUACAGCAUGAUACAAUAGAUAUCUACAGUAUGCUAACUUAUGGUAUUACAAAAAUUAGUGUAUGCUAUACCGUCCUAUAAAUUUUCAUCAUAUUUGUUCUACCUAUGCCCAUGCACCAUACCAACCACCAGGCUCUCUCUCAAAUCAAGAUUAACAACAGGUUUUACACCAUACAUACACACUCACAUGCAUCUAUCAAUCUCCAUACUCUGAAUGGAGACAGUUUGGUACACCCGUGCAUCUUAGCCAAUAGCGAGCCAAAUCAAUCCAAGGAUGUGACCAUGAAGUGCUACGAAAAUUCUUGGCUAGCAGCAAAUCCGUAGGGCGGGCAUGAAAGGUACAUGCACAACGAUGUUUUGUGUUGGAAGGCAAACUGACUCAGUGCCGGAGCUAUGCUAUCUCAUGAUAAGUGUAGCAUAUUUGAUUACAUCUUCUACAAGUUUGCUCAGGUUAUUAUCUCGAGUGUCUUUAACUUUUCUCUUUUAUGUUUUGCCUACAUUUCUCAUAUUGUUUUGUUGUCAUUUAAUUAAAAUGCCCACAACUUUUCCCCUUUUUGGAUUACGGACCUAUAUCCAGGUUUGGCUAUAUGCUCAUAAUUAAACAGUUAACUUGAAUUAUGAACCGUUUCAGGCCUGUGUGUACUGAAAAAUUAAUAUGUACAUUUUUUUAUAAAUUAAUCUGACCACAUGUAGUUCAGGUAACUUUGUAAUUUAUUGCCUAUUCCUAUCAAUGGCGUACUCUUUAGUUAGAGGAUAGUUCGUAAUUUUGAUGCAUUGCUACCUUCCUUAUAACAAGUCAAAUGCUUCAUCAAGUCUUAUUAUCAUCCACUUGCUCCAAAUAUAUUAUGUUCGGUCUAAUACUUUUAUGUUUUUAGUCUGUAAUUAUGAACCGUUUCAGGCCUCCGUGUACUAGUUAAUUAUAAAGCUCUAAGAUAACGAGGUGUAAAGUGUGCAUCAUGCUUUUUCAUUGCACAAUAUUUUUAUGUUUCUUUUCUUUUCUUCUGUGCUAGAAUUAUUUUUGCUCUACUAAGCGAGGCAUAUAUUUAGUCUGUAAUUUUUACCGCUCAAAUUCUGUGACUAUAUAUUUUAUUCCUGUUAACUCACUAUUUUUAGGGUCUGUCAACUCCGUUUGUUUACUGUAUGGCCUACAAAUUUAGGUAUCGUCAGCGUGUUGUAAUAUAUCUUGGUCUAUACUUAAUUAUAUAUUUUUAUGUUGGUGUACUGAUAUAUGAAGGCAAAAAUGUAACACAUGAGUUCUCGUUCGAAACCGUGGUACUUCAAAAAAGAUUGUCCGUUUUGUA